AGAGGCCAGGCAUGUUUUUCUUUGUGGAAAUAAAAGUGAGUAAUUGGUACAUUUAGUGUAAAAAUAUCAGGUGCGGCUGCACAGAGUGAAAAUCACAGGCUCCAAGGAGCCAGGAGGCCCACUGCCUGCCCUCACACCUUGAUGAGGAAAUGGGGGCCACAGAAGGAAGUGUAGCAGCACCUGCACCCAUGGGGGCCACGCCGGGCAGCUUCCCAGGCCCCUGCCAGCUGAGCAGCCGCAGGAGCAGGUGGAUGUGGAUCCCAAGCCAGGACCGAGGAGUCCAUCCCUGAGAGUGGAGGGAGUCAGGCAGGUGAAAGGAGCCACACAUCUGGGUACAGCGGCUCAUGGUUUCUCAUCUGCCCAAUGACAGAACUAGGUUCUGGAGCCAGCGUGGGUGAGCUAGGUUCCGGAGCAGAGCGUGGGUGAGCUAGGUUCUAAAGCCGGGUGUGGGUGAGCUAGGUUCUGGAGCCGGGUGUGGGUGAACUGGGUUCCCAAGCUGGCAUGGGUGAGCAGGACAGCAGCGGGAUCCUGGGAACAAUCUUUUCCCGCCAGGCAGCCCAGAAAUUCCAUUUGCAGUCACUUUCACUUAUGUUUUCCAGAAAACUGACCUGAUGCCCUCAGGGGUUGGUUGGUCGAGCCUUUCCCUGUGCUGGCCUGGCAGAGCCGAGUGCUCCGAGGCUGCCCAACACUGUGCUCCAGAACACACAAUCGGGUUCAGGAGACAAGCACGUCAGCCGACGGCCGUGACACAGGACGGAUGAGAGGGACCCCAGCGUCCAGGCGUGGAGGCACUGGGGGCAGCCCAGCGUGCAUAGACAGGGAAAGAGAUUCAGAACCUGAGGGCUGCUCUCCUGCCCUCCUGUCCUGGACACUGGCCUGGGCCCCCCAGCUUCCCUUCACCCAGCUUCCAUCCGGUAACACUGAGCCCCAGCACUUACGAAAAGGUCUCUCUGUGAAAGGUGGGAUUCUCGAAGUUUCCACAGAGGAGACCCCAUAGGAGCCGGGUCCGAAGGUUAAGAAAGACGCUAAGUAUAGAGAGGGCCAGCGGGGUGGGGGUUCCGGGCUCACUUCACAGAGGGGAUUGAUUGGGGAGCUGCAAUAUUUUGGGAAGAGUCAGGUCAGGGGUUUAUAAGGGAUGAGAACGGGGUCUACACCAGCCCAGAGGACCCCUGGGGUCUCGCCCCAGUAGAUGUCCAACUGGCAGAAAGCCCCUUCCUGCCUAGAGAGCACUGCCUCGAGGACCCUGGGGACCGCAGGGCCACGCUGCUCCCUCCCCAGCGUCAGCACCUCACUUCUCUCUCCGGCUGCCCUCCCACCUGGCUGCAAACUCCCCUCCAACCCAGCUCAGGCCUCCUCCCAACCUCACCCCCAUGUAGGCCUUCUUUCUUCUCACUUCCUCCCCACUGUGACUUCCUUCUGCAGGGUUGAUUGAGCUCCCUUUGCAGGCUGGGGGCAGGGGCGGGGGAGGGGCUGCAGGGAGGGCUGGUGGAGGAGGAGAUGACACACUCCCUAGAGGGGAGUGGGGAGGGCACGGGGCAGGAAAUGGGGUUGGGCGCCCCACGUGGGGUGCUCCAAUAAGCUCUUUGUCUGGGAUCCCCCACAGAUCCACACAAACAGGCCGACCACCAGGGCUGGUCCCAGGCCACCCGAGGAGUGCAAUGCAGAAAUGGAGAUCUGCCCGGGCAGCCGGGUGAGGGUGGGAAGGAGGGAGGGGUGCAAGAAGCUAGGGGAGCCUCCAUCCUGGGCUUACCCCCCACCUCUGCCCCCCGCAGCUGGGAGCACAUUUCCUCCCUCCUCCACUGUCCUCUGCAGGGUGUGACUCCUUGAGGGAGGGAGCUGAGGAGGUGGCAUUCUUGCUUCCAUGACCCACCCAAAGGAAGAUUUCACAGCCUAGCAAGGGCUCGGAGGCAGACUCACCUGUCACACCGUCCAGGGAUAGACUGACCACCGGCAGCCUUGGCUGGGCAGGGUGGGGGAGGGUUAUGCUGAGAAGUGUCUUCCAGGCCCCCUGGGGGUGGGAAGAGGCUCGAUAUUCAAAGGAUAUGGAGCGAGAAAAACAGUUAAGCCAUGAUGGACUCAGGAAACCAGAUAAAGAAGAACUGUCAUUCUAGCCCAUCCUUGGCCCAGCAGUGAAUGGAAAGCAGCAGCUCUAACGUGGUGGGACGGUGGGAGGCAAUGCCCUCAUCCCCCAAAACCAGCUGCGCCACCUUCCCAGACCACUCCAGCCUCAUUCCUCCAUCCACCCCUCCCUGCACCCCAUGAAGGCCACUGACUGGAGAGCAGAGCUGUCCAGAGAGCAGUCAGGUCGGGUGGGUGAGUGCCCUUACCCUCACUGAAGCUCUGCCCUGGACUCAGAGUGGGCUCUCCCUUGGAGCAUGCCCCUCUUCUUCCUGACACUUCACAUGUUUCCUUUCCUAUUCAGUUCAUGGUUUCCGCCCCCGCCCAAACGGAGCCACUGUUGCAGGAGCGGCCUCGGGAAACAGAUCUCUUGGACCCUGAAUAUUGGAGGAAGGAGUUUAUUUGGCCGGGAGCCAGGUGGCAUAUUUGCCUAAUAUCCAAGCCCCCCAACAAAGGAAGGUUCCUUCUUUAUAUAGGCUUAUACUUUAGACGUCACACGUGGAAGAAUCUUAGGUUUAUAGCAUAACAUGAAAAUGGUCUCUGUUUACAGUCUUAGGAAUUACAUAUGAAAGGGGCUUCGGUUUACAGUCUUAGGAAUGAAAAGGAGAAGUUUACAGUCUCAGGAAUGAAAAGGGGAAGUUGAUCUGAGAUACCUGGGUCUCCCUCUUCACCACGAGAUGUCUCCAAGGAAAGUCGGGGCAGCCUUCCUCAUCCUUGGUUCCUGUGACUUGGUUUCCAUGGGGCUUUCGAAGCUCAGGGACCCUAAGCCUCCAUCAGAUCUAAUUACCCACCCUGUCUGAGCACAUCUGUGUUGCCCCGUGCCCCUUGGCCCCCCCAAACCCUGCCCACACAGUUUCCGUCUUGGGUUAGCCCAUAGGCUGGCCCAUGUGGCCUACAUGUUACCUUCACCCCACUGUGUCCCUACUGGUGGGGAGCUGUUCCGUCUGGGCCCUAGUGUGACACUUCACACAUGAAUAUGUCCCGUGGGUGGCAUCUGGGGCCUCCCCCUACAGUGAGGAGGGUGACGACUGCAGAGCUCACUGGGCCUCAGGGUACAGGCCUGGGUGUCACAGAACACGGAGACAGUGAUCCGUAAAAGUGAGCUGCGAUGCCUCUGCUAGGAUGGAGGUGGGCAAGCUCCUCCCUGGAGGGCAGACGGUAUGUGUUUUGGGCUUUGCUGGCCACAUGGUCUCUGCUGUGACUACCCUGUACUCAGCUCUGCCAUUGUGGCAGCAGAGCAGCCGUAGACCUUCUAUAAGUGAAUGAGUAUGACUGUGUCCUAAUGAAACUUUAUUGACGAAAGCAGGUGGAGGGCCAGCCUAAGGGCAAAGGGCUGAAAUCUGUAGGUCUCUGUUCUAGACCAGUGACUCUCUGAAGAGGAAAUGGGGCGUGGGGAGUGGGGACAGUGUGUGGAGGAAGGGGUGGCACACAGGCAUGUGGGAAUGGCAUGGACAUGGAGAACACUGGAGGUGGGGAGGAGCUGGAGAAGCUGAACACUGACACUGGCCCCUGGGUGACACUAGGUCUCUCCACAGCCUCCUCUCUUAGCCUCUCCCUCCAGUUUCAAAAUGACUACUCCUCUGAGGGGACUCAGGCUCCUCACCUGGUUCCCCAGUUCCCACCGGAAAGCCUGAGUGGGUGUUCCAGCCUCUGCCCCACCAGGAACCCCUGGAAGGCAGCACCCCCAGGCAGGGACCUUUCCCCCCUGCCCCUCCCUCCUCCAGUUCUGGGUCCUGGCCAAGAGACAACUUCUCAGCUCAAAGGGACCUGACCAGGAAGGUCCAGACCCCUCCACCCAGGAAGCCCCUGCAGGCUGGAGGGCGGCCCUCCCUCCUCCCUCGCCCUGUUAGUUUUUCUUUCUGAUAGAAACAGCAGCAACUCACACACAGAGGAGCUGGGCAGGUGAGUGGCCCGAAUGCUGGGCUGCAGAAAGCCGGGGCUACAGCCCAAGGCACCAGCUGGGCAGGGGGCUGCACAGCCUCAGGUGAGUUCCUGAAAGGCACCCUUUUUCCACUUGCAAAUGGGGUGACAGGUCUGCUUCCCAGGCAUAGCGGACAAAGUGUGGGGACUGCAGAGCCUGGGAACACGGGUGGCAGAGGGGACAGGGCCCAGAGACUGCUGAGGGAGGAGGGUGUAGGGGCAGGGAGGCUGGUGAAUGCGGCAGGGGCAGGGGCGGGAGGGGCGUGAGGCCCAGUGGGGCUGGUGAAUGUGGGGAGGGUGGAUGCAAUGCUAAGCAUGUCCUCCUGGGGCCAGCAGAGCAGGGGUGUGGCUGAGUGGGUCUCUUACUCCGAUUUGGGUGGGACCCCAUGAAGUCACAUGUGGGGGAGACCUGGCAGGGCCGACAGCCUUGCCUGAUCCUUUCACACUUUAGCAGCAGCAAUUCCAAGCCCAGAAAGGCUGCAUGGCCGGGGAGAACAGAGGCCCCAGAAGGCUCUUCACCGCGGUCUCCACAAGAGAAAGUGUGGGCAGAAGCCAGCUCUGAAGCCCAGGCUGCCCAGCCAGCACUGGCAGAGCCGAGGGAGGAAGGCGGGGGCAAAGCUGCAUCUCCCUGUCUUGGACAUGAGCCCCGGAGAUCUGGAAGGAGGCAGAUAGGCCGGAAAGCUGAGCAGCCCUGACCCCAGGGCCCCCGGUGCUCCUUGGAGAGUGGAUCAUUGCCAAGUCAUGACUCCCUGCUAUCGGGCACCGGACAUGGGCCGUGUGCUGGCAUCUGGCUGUUGCAGGACUGAACCUGCAGGUGGUGACUGCCUUUCAUGCGGUGACUGCCUUCUGGAGGCCUGGCUGGCUGACACUUUGCAUGGCUCCUAGAGAAGGGGGAUGUGAGUGGAGUCUACGGGUCACAGCCAUGUUCUGGGUGCCACAAGGCAGGGCCAGGCUGGGGUGGGGAGGGGCUGGAGACAGGCUCCUGCCAGUUGCGCCUCUCACUGGUGGUCUUCAUGCCUGGGAAGCCACUGGGGACUUGGGAAAACGCAGGAGGCUGGGUCCUGCCUCAGGGUCUCUCACUCAGCAGGUCUGGGUGGGGUCCAAGACCGCACCCCUCACAGGUCCCAGGUGAGGCGGGUGUCCUUGGGCUCAGUCCGCCCAGCACCCAGGGCCCGGGUUGGGACAGAGCUGUGAUGCAGGCAGGCCGUUCCCCCUGUUUUCUGGGAACAUCACAUCAUCUUAGCUUGGAACCGCAGGCAUCCAGGAUUGUUACUCACAUCCCUCCUCCAUGUUCUUCUUUUUGAUAACUUUCAUCAGGUUUGUCAGGAGCUGCGCUUCCACUAGGGAGGCCCAAGUGGAAAGCCUCUUCCUUGUCCUCCAGGAGAGAGGAAAACCUACAGUUACAAUUCCAGGGACAAGAGCGAUGCAUGUGAGGUGUGGCAAGUCUCACGGUUCAACCAGGGAAAUCAGAGAUGGCUUCCUGGAGGCAGUGACACCUGGACAGGCUUCUCCACUGAAGGAGGGAAUCGAGUGGGAGGAGCUGAGUGGGAGGAACCUAUCACUUAGUGGGAACUGCACAGGCGGAACCGACAACCACCCCCACCC